rnacentral:lncRNA from 1 species
CAUUAGUCCACAGCGCGUGCCAGAGGAUAAAGCGAGACUACUUAGCUAAAGCCAGGAGCUUCGAAUGAUCAAGGAAGUGUUCACGCUUGAGACCCAUUUGUUAGGUCUUCAAAGGCCUUGGACCUUCCUAGACACCCGUUAGAGGAAUCAGUGCUAGUCUCUCUUCCAUCCCAAUUUUUAAAUGUACUUUGGGAUAUUUCAAAAGCAUUCCUUCUACUAUGGAAGGUUUUCCUAGGUGCAGGGAAAGUUAUAAAAGGAGAAGAAUGUUCUGGAGACACUAUUGCCAUCCCCAGACCUCUUGGCCCAUGUCCAUCUUGGCAGCAAAUAGAAGUUAUGCUAUGUGGGUGAUGCUGAAUAUAGUUCCCUGUGCUGUUCAGCAGGACCUUGUUUAUCCACUGAUAAAAUAUUUUAACUCCAGAGUGUGGAUGAGAAACCUGGCCCCACCACUCCACAGUGGAGCCUGACUGCACCAACCCUGGCGCCUAGAAGCCAGGGCUCCCUGGGGCACUGGGACUUCUCCUCAGGACACUCCUGAGACCUUCGGGUACUAACCACACCCUGCGGAGGGGACAGGACACGACGACAGAAACAGGGGCUAAGGAAGAGACAAGCAUCACACACCCCGGCAGCCCUAUUAUCUACACAAUGAAAUUACACCACGAAAUAAACAGGCGACGUACCUCAGACUCGGGGAGCCGGUCACUUGGUCAAGUUCUCAGCUCACAGGAGGCAGAGCAGGUGUCAAACGCCCAGUUCACAGCUGUUCUCACACAUUUGCUCAUGUAGUCAUUCAAAGGUCAUUGGUGAGUUUCCGUGUGUGUGCAGGUCUGUGUUCCCACCGCGGCCACUGUGAUGGGGACCCAGGUCAGAGCAGAGGCAGGAUGGGAAGGAAACCCGCCGCUCUGCCCUUGGGGCGGGAAAGAGAAAGGAGCCCUGAGCAGCUGCGAACAGCCGCAAAGGCGCCUGCGCGGCAGAGGCGCUCUGGACAGACCCCGCCCCGUGUGAGUCCAGAACCUGCAGGGGCAGCACCUGGGGGCUUCCUAACAACGCACNAAACCAUCCCCAUGGGACCCGCAGGGGAAAUGUGCUGCCACCAACUACAGACAGACCCGUGGACAGAGGGCGGAGAAGGAUGUGGGCUAAGUUAGGAAGGCUCCUUGGAGGAAGCUUCUAGCAAUGAAAGCCGGCUGCCACUUAGGACAAUAAGAUCCUUGGCCUCCAACAGCUUCUCAAACUUGGCUGCCAGGUGAAAUCACCUGUGGUUUUAAAAAAUGAUUCCUGCCCUCCAAACCCAGAAAUUAUGACUUAAUCGAGAUGAGGCUUCAGCACCGAGUUUGUUCGUUUUUUUUUUUUUUUUUUUGCACCUGGGGCCGCACCUGAGGCAUAUGGAGGUUCCCAGGCUACGGGUCUAAUCGGAGCUACAGCCACAGCACUACGCGAGAUCCGAGCUGUGUCUGCGACCUACACCACAGCUCACGUAAAGGCCAGAAUCUUGAGCCACUGAGCGAGGCCAGAGAUCAAAGCCGCAACCCCAUGGUUCCUAGUCGGAUUCGUUCCUGCUGCGCCACAACGGGAACUCCAGCAGCACCGGGAUUUUAAAGAGCUCCACCAGCAAUUUGGUUUUGCCGCCAAGUUUACAAACCACUGACCUUUGCUAUAUUUAAGACAUAAAGGAUUGUACCUGGACGAGAAAACAGAGUAAACAGCGAUCAGGUGAUUCUGCAGGACCAGGAAUGUGCGUUUCUGUGUGCCGAGGGUGAGGUAGAUGAUGAGAGUGAGGCUAGGGUCUGAGACCCCUCCUGCCCCCAGUUCGGCCUUCCUGGCCCCAAGUUCUGUCUCCUUUCCACUUGCCUCACCUGGAUGCCUGGAUUCUGCUGCCGCCUAGUGGUGGUUUUCAGUAUAGCAUGCUGUCGCUGAAGGUUUCAGAAGAGCAGAACCUUCAUCACAAACUUGAGUCCCAGGGUGUGUCUUGCUGGCUGGCAUAGCCUAGGAACUGUACACGCUGAGCAGUGUAGCAGGAACCUCAGGAGUUUCUUCUUUGCAGGGAAGCUGAGGGAGCUCCAGGUCCCUGACCAAGCACAGGGCUGACACUGGGCUGUGACUAGAGACUUCCUAUGCCUGAGAUUUGAGGAAAUUGGUCUUGUCAGUGACAAGUGCCUAUGAAUGAUAUCAAGCAUCAGGAAAAGGUGAAAGGUAACAAGCUUCAACAAUGACCAGCCACCCCUUAUUCUGCUCUGAAUCAUUGAACAGACCUGCCCCUCACACCUGUGGACACCUGUCAAGCGCAUAAAUCGAGCCCAUACUAUGUGUUUGAAUAUUUAAAGUUACAGAUCAAGCAGACAAACUGUCAAGUACACCUGUGUAACCACCUCGCGGCUGCCAUUCCUGGGCCCUGCAGCUCAAGCCACAGGUGGGACAGCAGAGGGACAGCCGCCCCCAGUCCCCGAGGGCUCUUCCCACUCUGGCUCCGACCUGCUUUGUGCCCUGAGGAAUCUGCUGCUCAGUCAAGAGCACACCCAGCCUUCAAAUCCAAGCUCAGGCCACCCUCCUCCGGCCCCAUAAACAGCUGAGACUUGACCACUUGUGGGGCUAGGAGAUGAGCCCCAGGGGGCAGGCCUGCACUAGGACUGGGAGUAGGAGUCUAGGGUUUAGGUGCUCAGUGCAUGGCCUGGGAAGAGGGGCUCCAGGUGGACACACCCCCUUGUCCUCUCUGGCUGCCUGCCCCACGGGGAGGGUACAACCAGAGGGAGACCUGAGCAGGGCCUUCAAAACCAGCACUUCUCAAACUUUAAUGUGAGCAGGACUCACCUGGGAUCUGAAGACUCUGAGGCAGCAGGUCGGGGGAGAGACCAAGAUUCCACGCCUAACAGCCUCCCCGCAAAGCCGCUGCUGCUGGUCCACAGGCCCCGCUUAGCAAAGCUCUAAGGCGGGGUGGGCGGGGGUUUCUGCAAAGGGACGCGAGGUACAUUCUCAGGCUCUGCAACACCUCAGCUCUGCUGGUGCCACACAAAUGCGGUUGCAGACAAAGUUGGUGAGCCUGGCUGUGUGUCAAUACAACCUUGUUGGUGAACAUUGAAACUUGAAUUUCAUGAUUUUUCUAUGACACAAAAUAUUCUUCUUCUGCGGAUUAUUUCAACCUUUUUAAAAUGUAAAAACUGUUCUUAACUCAUGGGCCAUAAGAAACAGGGCCAGACAAAGCCUCAAAUCUCUAAAAGAUAAGGAUGUUUUAACAUUAAGCACAAUAUCAACAUCCCACCUAAAAGCAAUUAGCAAAAAUAUUUAAUAUCAUCAAACACCCUUUAAGUGUUUUAAUCUCUAACUAUAUUAUAGAAGAUAGGUUUAACCCCAUUCUUAAAUAUAUAAUCACUGUCUAAUCUGUCCCUUUAUUCUUUACCUGUAGCUCUGGAUUCUUUCCCAGUAGCUCAGCAUCUUGCACCCUAUGUUGUCAUACUACAUUUCACCAAUAGGUGGCACUAUAACCCUGACAUUUGCUAACAGCUUGGCACCCAAGAAAAAAAUUGUAUGCAAUUUGCAAUUAUAGAUGAGUACAUGAUCACAAAAAUUGAAAAAUAGCCUGUUUCCUCUGUGUAACAUGUGAUAAACCUCAAUACAUCCCAAUUUCAAGGAAAAAAAUAUUGAUGUUAAAUAAAUUUCUUUUUUAAAAAAAGCAAACAUGAGAAGCCCACUGCUCUGUAUUGAGGUUCACUUUUGCAUUUCAAGUGUUCAGUAACUGAGGCCCUUAUAUUCUCCUGCUUAAGAUAAAAGCAAAUUGAAUCUAUUUGCACAAUUGAUCUAAAUGUCAAAUACCCAUUUCAAUUGUACCAUCUGAAUUGUAUUGUGUGCCUACCUCUGAAUAAAACAGUUUCUUUU